rnacentral:tRNA from 1 species
GGGCCGGUAGCUCAGUCGGUUAGAGCAGGCGACUCAUAAUCGCUCGGUCGUGGGUUCGAUCCCCACCCGGCCCACAA